rfam:Pseudogymnoascus pannorum VKM F-4513 (FW-928) contig_1320, whole genome shotgun sequence.
GCUCAUAUGGCCGAGUGGUCUAAGGCGAUGGUUUUAAGAAAUUUCUUCUGAAACACCAUUAUCGAAAGAUGCGUGAGUUCGAACCUCACUGUGAGCA